UAGGGAAUUUUCCGCAAUGGACGAAAGUCUGACGGAGCAACGCCGCGUGCAGGAGGAAGGCCUUCGGGUUGUAAACUGCUUUUGUCUGUGACGAUUUUGACGGUAACAGACGAAUAAGGACCUGCUAACUACGUGCCAGCAGCCGCGGUCAUACGUAGGGUCCAAGCGUUAUCCGGAAUUACUGGGCGUAAAGAGUUGCGUAGGUGGCAUAGUAAGCAAAUAGUGAAAGCGUAGGGCUCAACCCUAUACCCAUUAUUUGAACUGCUAAGCUUGAGCAUGAGAGAGGUAGAUGGAAUUUCUAGUGUAGGAGUGAAAUCCGUAGAUAUUAGAAGGAACACCGAUGGCGUAAGCAGUCUACUGGCUCAUUGCUGACACUAAGGCACGAAAGCGUGGGGAGCGAACGGGAUUAGAUACCCGGGUAGUCC
rnacentral:rRNA from 1 species